rnacentral:rRNA from 1 species
UGCGUAGGCGGCUUCGUAUGUCGGGUGUGAAAGCCCACGGCUCAACCGUGGAAUGCCAUCCAAAACUGCGGGGCUAGAGUACUGGAGAGGUAAGCGGAAUUCUUGGUGUAGCGGUGAAAUGCGUAGAUAUCAAGAGGAACGCCGGUGGCGAAGGCGGCUUACUGGACAGAUACUGACGCUGAGGCACGAAAGCUGGGGGAGCAAACA